rnacentral:rRNA from 1 species
GAUGAACGCUGGCGGCGUGCCUAAUACAUGCAAGUCGAGCGAACGGACGAGAAGCUUGCUUCUCUGAUGUUAGCGGCGGACGGGUGAGUAACACGUGGAUAACCUACCUAUAAGACUGGGAUAACUUCGGGAAACCGGAGCUAAUACCGGAUAAUAUUUUGAACCGCAUGAUUCAAAAGUGAAAGACGGUCUUGCUGUCACUUAUAGAUGGAUCCGCGCUGCAUUAGCUAGUUGGUAAGGUAACGGCUUACCAAGGCAACGAUGCAUAGCCGACCCGAGAGGGUGAUCGGCCACACUGGAACUGAGACACGGUCCAGACUCCUACGGGAGGCAGCAGUAGGGAAUCUUCCGCAAUGGGCGAAAGCCUGACGGAGCAACGCCGCGUGAGUGAUGAAGGUCUUCGGAUCGUAAAACUCUGUUAUUAGGGAAGAACAUAUGUGUAAGUAACUGUGCACAUCUUGACGGUACCUAAUCAGAAAGCCACGGCUAACUACGUG